rfam:Ovis aries breed Texel chromosome 17, whole genome shotgun sequence.
UCCCUGGUGGUCCAGUGGCUAAGACUCCGUGCUCCUAAUGCAGGGGCCCAGGUUCUACCCCUGGCCAGGGAA